ensembl:lncRNA
AUGGAGUCAGUGUUCCCACAGUUGAGUGGGCAUCUGAACCACCAGAAGGGCUUGUUAAAACUCUGCAUGUUGGGCCCUGUCCCAGAGUUGCUGAGUCAGUAGAUCUGGGGUGGGGCCUGAGAAUCUACAUUCCUAACAAGGUCUCAGGAGCAGCUGAUGCAGCUGGUCCGGGCACCGCAUUUUGAGGCCCACAGUCCAAAGCAACCCUGACGGACACAGGAUCCAGGGUUAGGGGACCAGGCUUCAAGCUUGAUGCUGCUACAAGAGGCUGUGUGGACUCAGAUGAGAAAAUGGAGCAACAAGUUCAUGAAGAUUUAAAAUAAGGCACCUCUGAGAAUUCAAAUCUGUUACCCAGGGCCACCAUGUUGAACACUACCCGGGUUGCACAUUGUAUAACUUUCUGCUGCAUCAUCCACAUAAACUAGGAUUUAAACGGCGCCCCUUGGAUUUGUGCAUCAUGGCAGGCCAUCAUCCAUUCAAAUUAAGAACACGGAAAAGGAUACCGAUGUGUUAAACCACCAAAGAACAUUGAAAACUAGUCUAUUGUUGUAGAUGUGAUUAAGGUGUUUGUGGUGUUAAAGUUGUAGGUCCUUCUGGUUCUGCUGUGUGGGACACUGCCUUAGCGUGGCUUGAUGAGCAGUACUAGGUCCAUACCCCGGAUCCGAACUGGUGAAACCCCGGGCUGCUGAAGCUGAGCACGGAAACUUAACCACUGGCCAUGGAGCCAGUCCCUGGAUUUUUCACUUAGCAUAAUGCUGUUGAGAUUCAUUCAUGUUGAAAAAUGGUUCUCAAAGUUGGCUUCACAAUGGAAUUUGACUGGCUUUAAAACCCACUGAUGUCUGAGCCCCACAUCAGAGGUCUGUGGGAGUGUGGAAGACUUGAAAAUCUUCCCAGGUGAUUCUAAUGCGCAUUCAAGAUUGAGAAACUCUGGACCAAAAGUUCAAGGAAAGAACAAAUCCCACACAGUUUAUGUGGGGAGUUGCAGUGCACCCUGACCAAGGAGAAGGAUGACGGAAGGCCAAUGGUGGAUGUGUUCCCUAUCUGAGAACACCACAGAAGGUGCAUCUGGAAGCCAGUCGAGUAUUGUGGCUUCACAGCUUGCGUGGAACUUCUCGUUCUCUCACUGAUGAGCUGUGGAACUUUCAGCAAAUUAGCUAAUGUCCCUGUGCUUCUGUUUCCUCAUCAGUGAUCUGGACAUCAUUACAUCCCACAGCAUCUCAGCGGCACUAUGAAGCUGUGUGAGUCAAGGCAGACAGAAUGCCUCACGCAGCGAUGGGCACGUAAGUCUUAGGCCCUCUAUCAUGCAGGUUCUCAAAAUCUAUCUUUUCUGUGUCUGUGUUUCUACCUUUACAAAAUUGCAUCAUAACAUACUAGUUAUCUAUAUCAUAACUAUUUUGUCCUUUCUGGAAAAUAUUUCUUUCCUAAUGCCUACAAGAAAGCUGAACACACAGUGAAGGUACUGUGAUACUGAUCAUAGCAAUGACAUGGCCGGAAAGGCCAAGAUUUCUGCCUUGCAGAGAACAGGAUCCAGACAAAGUCGUGCAGGAGUUCUGCUGUGGACCUACUGCAAGACUUGGAGGAGUCAAGUAACUAUCUCAGUAUUCCAGAAUGUUAAUGUUAAAAUGGGAGCAACAAGCAUUUUGAGGAGUAAUGUCAAUGAAGAGUGAUGCUUCUUACAUAGCUAGAAAGACAGAAGUAUAAAUUAUUAAUGCAUUUGAUAAAGAUUUCUUAAAAGAUCAAACUCCAAGUCUUUUCUUCCAAGUCUUUAAAGCCUUUUUCUGCACUGGGGGAUUUUUCACUUACUGCUGGCAAGUCCUCAAGGUGAUUUGAGAAAGGCAUCUUGCAGACUGGGAGGCGGAGAAGUCUGCCUCACCCCCAUCAGCCCCGUGAGCUGCGACUGCAAGCACACGUGCACGCGCACACACACACACACACAAUCCUUCAAGAAAAUGAAUGACUGAACGUGGGGCUCACAUGCGUCUUUGCAGGCACCAUCCUAGUGACCCCAGAUCCUUCACACGUCUAAGUCCUACACAGAAAGGAGUAGCGGCUGUCCAAGGCUUCCAGCAGGUGCGGAGGAGGGUCUCCCACACUGCACAUCCUGAGCCCGGUUCCCCUUCCAUUUAUUUCCGUGGCACUGACUAUGUGUGCAGCGAGCCGUGCUGCAGCGGAGAUACCCCAGAGAAAGAGGAAACCCGUUGAGCUAUUUUUCACCAUUACAUACUUCACUUCCUAAUAAAUGAGAUCCAGAGCAUGCAAACAGCCAGUCUUGUAGGUCAUCAUCUUAGGGAAAAUCACAGACCUAACGCAGCACAAAGCAAAAAAUAAAUAAACCCAGAGGAGAGCCAUUCUGGAGAAAUUUGAUACCAUAAUUCUCUUCUCAUAGCAUUCUGUCCCUCCCUAGAAGGUUUUGUGCCUUGGAGAUCUAUCAGGGCUCUAAGGGUGGUUGAAAAAUAAAAAAGUGCUAGAUCUUUCUCUGUCCUCAUGCCAGCUUAUUUUCCCCAGCAGAAAGAGAUUUAUUUAUAUGUAAGAGCAGACAAGUUGAGACCAAGUCAUAUUUCACCUGAUUCAAGCCGUGUGAUCACUGAUCGGUAAGGGGCAUGACUUAUGAGGGUUUUAUCAGCUACCUAUGCCAAGCAGCACAUCAGAAUCUGUAUUUCAGGGCUGUAACAGUGCUGGAGUAAGUGGGCACGUGACAUGCCCAUCCUUGCCCAGCAGAGCUCAUGGAUUCUCUGGCGCCUUGGCUUUUGGUGGCCUUUUCCAGUCUCUGGGCUUUUCCUUGUUCCUUCAGAGGAAAAGCCCACAUUUAGAUGCAACUUUGAAAGUUGAGGUCACGAGCACUGCUCGCUGUGUCAACUCAGGGAAUCAGUGGACAGUAAUGCAAUCUCCCCAUGUUCACCAGGGAAUAUAAUAUUUCACACAGAAAAUAGCAAAAUACUCCCACGGCCCCGGGACAAUAUCCUGAAGUUGUUUGAGGUGAAAGAAAAUAACUGUCUUUGGGGCAAAAGAAUUUAGACUCUUUAGCAGCAAACUUUUGUUGCCUUUUGUCUGACACCAUCUGAAUAUUUAUUCAGGUCUAUUCCAGGUUAGAAAAGGGAAUGGCUCUCGCGCACAAUCUUGUGAGAUUUCUUUGCCCAUUUUUUGUUGGCCCUAAAGCCAUCUGAGAUGAUAAAUGAGGCUUUUCUGGCCAAAGGCUUGCAAUUUCCUAUUAUAUUUUAAAACGACACCUGGUGGAUCUCUAAGCCUCUGGAAAAUUCUCAAUGCUCUGUCCUCUUAUUUGGACAGUCCUAGGGGAAAAGAGAGAAGAUCAAGCUAGGUCUUAAUUUCUGAGUAUUAUCUGUUCGUGGAUGCUAAUAUUCAGAGAAAUGGAAAGCAGCUACUCUCCUGGUUAAGGGAACUAGUAGAGGAAAGCCCACUAUCUAAACUAUGUGUGAACUGGUUCCCAGUUUUUUUCAGUGGCUAAAACACUAUCCCUCCUAACAACUAAGCUUCAUUUACCCUUUUAUAAAAUAUAAGUACUAGAGGGAUGUGUGAGACUUUAAUUCCUUAAAAAUGUCACAUCCUUUUCCUCCCCAGCUGAAGUGACCCAGACAGCUUGAGGGUGAGAGAAGAGAGUGAAAAGGAAGCCGAAACAAGAGCACUAGGCCACCAUUUCUCUCUUAUGCCAUCUUGAUACUUGCCGCGAUGCUGAGGGAUGUGGAAGGAAAAUCAACCAACUGCAAUUCAAGAGACGGGGGUCGAGAUGUACAUGAUUCUACAGAAGUCAUCCAACAGUUCCGAGUUCUACUCUUCUAUGUAAAAUAGUGAAAUGAUAUUUACGCUUUCUAAGUCUUGAGCUUGUUAGGGGGAAGAUUUGGGCAGACUCUGUUUCACAGCUCCUGGUCACAGGGCAGCCAUGACAGUUCUGUCUUUGCUUUGGUUUAAUAGGAACACGUGACUUCUAGCCAAUGGAAUGUUAGUGGAAGGAUGUGUCGGAUAAAAAUCUCUGAUGAGUGAUCCUCCAUGCUGAUUUCCCAAAUGCCAACCGAAUGUAGAGGUUUCCAAGGCCUAAGAGGAGGACAGAAUCACGCAAUAGGAGUCUGGACCCUCAAAUUGCCAUGAGGAAGGCUGUGUUCGAACCAAGAACACCUGUGUGGGACUUUACAGAAGUAAAAAUAAACUUUUUUGUAUGUUAAGUCACUGAAGUUUCAUGGUUUGUUUAUUACAGCACUUAGUAUUACCCUAAUUAAUGCGAGGAUCAAGUGGGGAAAAAAUGGAUUUAAAAACAUUAUGCAAACUCUAAAAUACUGUACAGAUUUAAGGGUUUUUACUGGCUUUGGUUGUGUAAAGUCUUGGGAGUAAGUGCUAAAGUUAUGUUGAAAUAAAAUACUAUUAACAGAUAUUUAUUCAAUGCUUACUAGAGGAUGCAAAUCUUAUGUAGCUUAUCUAAUUUGUUCCUCUUGGCCACCUUAAGUAGAUGUCUUUCUUUAUUGUCAUUUUUACAGUUGAAGAAAGUAAACUUCAGAGAAAUGAAGUCACUUACCUGAAAUCAUACAACUACCAAGGGCUGAGGGCUUUCAUUAAAGUUUUAUUUUUUUGUUUUCCAAAUCUACUUUUGCACCCUAUUAUAGUAUUCAAAAAUUUUAAACUUCUUCUAGAAGAAAGCCAGACUGUUUAUUCUACUCCCUCUAUACCAAAGGAACAGCAGAUAGAUGUGCACAUGGAACAUUCUGUUCAUUCCAAUAAGUCUGAAAAUCCUGAUGUUGGAGAUGACAUUCUUUGAAGUCGUUUUCCAAGUGUAGGCAGCUACUUUUCACUCAAAACUAUGCAGUUCAAGUAAUUGAGUUCUCAAUUUUCUUGCAUUAAAAGUAACCUAGGGCGGCCAAAACCUUGGGUAGAUGAAGGGUUUUCCCCCCUCUUCUGUUUUCCUCAAGCUUCAAAAAUGCACUUGCCAAAAUAAUGUGAUUUGAGCUGCUCUUUAAAUAUUUUUACCAGGUGAGGAAUUGCUGGUACAUUCCAUCUUGUCAGUAAUGAUUUCACAUUUGUCACUCUCAUCGGGUAGACUGUCCACGGACUGCGGACCAUUUUCACACUCAUUUUGGAUACUGUUUGGUGUUAUUUUCAUUCAAGGGCAGGCUUGGAACCAAGCAGAUUAUUUCAUAGACUUGGAAACUAUAGGGGGAUGUAACGAAUCUUAGCCUUGAUCUGGGGCAUUUCUGAUGCAAAGCUUUGUCUAUCAAAAAAAUCUGCUCAUUAUAUAACCAAAGAGUGAGGGGACUUGACCAUUUCCCUCUGGUUCAGAGACCCAAGCCUCAUCCCUUUGUCCACAGGUAGUUGUAGAUGCCUUCCUCUGACUUGAGAAUUCUGGCUUGCUUAAACUUUCUGCUGUUCAGAUAAAAAACAGCAGCAAUUUUCUGCUUGAAUUUCUCUGUGACUAAGUCCAUUGAUCAUCCUUUCUCUCUGUGAGUGAGAAGUGUGUUUUCUCCUUAAUAACUCCUAUCCUUCUCCCUGGAUUUUUUUUUUCCCCCUUCGCUUGUUUGUGUUGUGUUGGUCAGUCCUACGCGCUAUUCCUCUGAGAGACAGAGAGCGCGCAAAAUUGAAGUUAUUUUAUGCUUGGGCUCCCUCGGUCCCAAUUUUCAAAUCUUCAUGUCAAUUUUCACACAUCAGUGUCAUGUGGUGAAUGUUAUGGAAAUUUCAGUGGGGUCCUUGGGAGGAAAUUUAUACACGGAUCCCUCCCCCACAACACUAUCCGGCUGCAAUUCCUGUCUUUUCUAAGAAUAAGUGGAUCUAUAAUUAAUGUGGAUUUUAAAAUAUAACGGCAUUCAGAAUUCUCAUAGCAGGUUUUCGACGCCAUGUCUUCUUUGCAGUAUAAACACAAAAGCAUAAAUGCUUGCUAGCUCUCUCUCCUAAUAAAUGGGCUUGUGUAAAAGGAAUAAAAAUUACAGUUUGUUGGCUGUAAAGAGCAACUAAUUACUCAGGAAGAAGCAUGUUUUUAUUUUUCAAAACUGCACUGAAAAUGGUUUAUCAUGCAAUAAAUUUGCUAAUCACCAGUUAGGAAACACAGCGCCAUCACCACCUACCCACAGCGGCUUCCUUUGAAAGUUGGUAUGUUACAGUUUGGAUAGGAAAUUAUAUCCUUUUGAAAAUGAACAUGACAGAAGACGUUCACUGAAUAGCUUAAAACUCCUCAGCAGUCAGAAUUCAAACUGCAUAAACAAGAGUGUGGAUAUUGGUGCCAACAGACAGCAACUACUGACCUUGGAUUUGCUUGGUGAGCAGACCACCCAGGACCCCUUCUCAUGAAGACAGGUAUUCAUUUCCUUUUGCUCUUUCCCUUUUAACAGUGAAAGUGGAAGACCCCCAAAUGAAGAAUACAAGGUUGGCCUUAAUUUUUUCACUUUCCUUUUCUUCAGCCCCUCGCCAUCCUAUAAAUGUUAAUUUCUUAUAGAUUUGCCUUACAUUUUUCCAGAAGAACCUGGAGAACUGUCUUCUCAUCCAGAACUGUAGGAGUCCAGCUUGAUGAACUUGAAACCAUACAAACCAGUAACAGGAAUAUCUUAUCCCUGCUGCUGGCCCACUCUCUUGCUUCGAAGGUACUUGGCAAUGACUUUCGUAUUGUUCUCCCCAGAAAGGACAUCCAUGGACAUCCUCAUCAAUGAUCAUUGCUGUCUUCCCCUGUCUCCAUGUUUUUCUUGCCAUUACUCUGUCAUAUUUCCUUCUAAGACUUCUUAAUAUUAAAAAUUAUCUCAUUGAUUUGUGUGUUUAUUGACUUAUUAUCUGGUUCGCCACUGGCAGGUACCUUCAGUGAAAGAGGAAACCUUGUGUUCUUUUUGUUGUUGUUGUUGUUUUUUGAGGAAGAUUAGCCCUGAGCUAACUGCUGCCAAUCCUCUUCUUUUCGCUGAGGAAGGCUGGCCCUGAGCUAACAUCAAUGCCCAUCUUCCUCUACUUUAUAUGUGGGAUGCCUACCACAGCAUGGCGUGCCAAGCAAUGCUGUGUCCACACCCGUGAUAUGAACUGGCGAACCCCAGGCUGCUGAAGUGGAACGUGUGCACUUAACUGCUGUGCCACUGGGCUGCUCCCGAAACAUUCUGUUUUGAUCAGCUCAGUAUCACCAGAUCUUGGUCAGACGUCGGGCACAGAGUAAUUUUCAAUGUAUACUGAAGGGUUCAACAAAUGAAUGAAUGAAUGAAUGGACAUUUUGGUUUUUCAUCCCUACCUCAAAAAGCACAGCAUUCAUUAACCAUGAUGUAGCUGACUUGCCACCCCUCAAACAUAGGGGUAUCUAGAGGUAAGGCACCUUUGGGUUUAAAAGUUGGGAGGAGGUGUUUGUUUAAGCUUUCCUUUUGACUAGAAGGAAGGAACAGUAAAUUUUGUGGUCAACUUUCCUUUCUUUGGAGAAAAUGCAUUGUGUGGGAAGCUGGUUAUUAGGUCUGAUUGGUGGAAGGUCACCAGGUCACCAGCCCUGGCUUGCAAUGGCCUGGUGUCUAAGGAGAAGACACUCACAGGCCAGGAGACUCCAGUGGCAGCACUCCCACCGGUGGCCCCACACAAUGGAGUCUUGGAUCAGUACCUUUCUUAGAUGUACAACUGUGAGCAACUCACUCAAUUUCUUCAGUUCUCAGUUGUCUUGCCUGAAAAUCACCAUAUAACCCCCUACCUCACCUAGAGUUAUUAGAAUUAAAUAAAAACACGUGUCCAACACUAUUUUGUAAACUACUGAGGGCCAUACAAAUAUUUUGGCUGGUUUGAUAUAGAAGAAAUGGUCAAGGAUAUAUUAAAAAUGAAAAGACUGUUCUUUUGUGUGACAAUUUUUGUCCCGUCUGUACUAUAAGAAAGAUAGGUAAGAAAGUCACCAUUUUAUAGAUCAAUAAACUGAGGACUAGGGAAGCUGUGUCAUGCUUAGCAUCAUAGAUAAUACUGUCUAUCUUUGCAUCUGGAACAGGCCCCAGAUCUCUAGAUGAUUAGUGCGGUAAUUUUGUUUCUAGAUGGUUGCAGUAAUUUCUGGUUCUCUUUCCACAGGAGCUGUCGCUGGGGGCACUGGUUCAUCAGAGCAAUGCUGUGGUUGGGUCUUGGGCCUGAGAGUCGAUCAGCCAAGUUAACAGGUUUGGCUUGACAUGGCCGAGUCGGAGGACAAGCACACAUCUGAGUCCAGAAGAAAAGCAUCAAGAACAACUCUAAAUUCAAGGACAAACUUGGAUCAGGAAUGGCAAAUCAAGUCAAAUACUAGAGUCCGGAAGAAGGUAUUUUUAGAAAGAGAGGCAGACAGAAUAGCCAGGACAAUGCAAAGAGGGUCCAGAACUUUCCACAUCAAUAACCCUGAGAUGCCCCAACAUUGCGGUUGCGGGUAUGGUAGGCUAUAUAUUGAAUAAGUGGCCCAGGCUGAUCCAAAGGUAUGGGGCAGCAAUAGGAACUAUGCUUCUCCAUAGAUUCUUCCAUAAAGACAGGAGCCUUUUAUUAGUUUGAGGGGCUUCCUGUAGUAAAAGAGUUAUGGGAGAGGCAGUAGCAAAGACACACCCCUUGACCACAAUGUUGCCCCCACCCCAAAGGAAGACUUUCCUAGAGUGGAUUUGAUGUCUAUGGACAUAACCUGAAAAAGACAAAUCGUUUUGGGAAACACUAGUUUGAAGAAAAUUAGAUGCAGGAUUUCUCAGAGCCUUUAAUAGUUUAAUACUCAUUUAAUAAUAAUUGUGGCCAUUAAACAGGCUCCUUGAAUUUUGAAGAGUAGUUCACCGACGGAUUUCGCGAAGAGUGUGUGGUAUUUCCUAAAUGCACUUCAACACCAACACACAUAUUUUUCUAGAAUCUCUUGAUAGAGUAGUGUUCCACAGGAUGUAGUUUGCUCACGUUGGUCUAGGUAACCUGUUACACCGAUUUAGGUAACUUUUUUGUAUACGGUGAAUGAAGUCACACUGCAGUUAUUGUUUUUCCUUUUUAACUCAUUUCAUCAUUACCGUCAUUAGGCUGCAGUCCAUUUAACCCUUUGAUUCAUUGUUUCUCUGUGAAGUGUAGGCAGCUUCACGGCGACAGAAAAAAUAGGACAGAGAGAGAAUCAUGUCUCAGGGUCAAAGUAGGCGUAUUGAUCUACCUAGAGCUAUUCUGGAAUGUUUCUGUUUCCUGUUCUCAUUUACACUCAGAGAAGUCUUCACGGUCCAAUGGGUGAAACUCGGUUAAAAUGUGAUAGAUUCUUUUGAUUUUAUAGGAUCAAAGAGGCUUUCUACUCAUUAAACUUCUCACAGUAACAUUCUUUCUUAAGUCUGUUUUCAAAUUUAAGAGCUCAGGGGAAUGGAGUUUGCUGAAAGUCUAUCAUUUAGAGAAUAUCGAAGCUGCAUUACAUUAUGUCAAGUUCAGUCUUCCCAUUGCUCCAUUUUGAUUCUCCUCCUAUGUAAUUAUUGCUUGGAGAACAAGCAACUGACCUUUUCCUCCUUUCCUGUUUCAGCACAAAAAGAUGGAAUUAAUCCUUUUACAUGAAAUUAGAACUGUGAAUUCUAAGACCCUAAUCCAAAAUGUCCCUGUCUUGAUUAUGGUUUCUCACUGCAGUUUUCUCUUUUGUAGAAUGGAACGAAGUCUUCUUACCUGGAAAAAAUGGAUAAAAUGAAAAUAAAUAAACAACAUGUGGGCUUUCAUUUAUGUUUUCCUUUGUGUUCUGCAAAACUAAUGGAAACUUCAAAUGAAUGUUUUUCUCAGGUCAAUUAUCAGUAACAAUAAUGGGACACAGUAUAGUGUGAUAUUUAAGUGGAACACAUUCUAGAAUCUGAUUACCUGGGUCCGCACUGUGCCCCAGAAGAUUUUGCACAUGCAAAAUCGAACCUCUCUGGGCCUCAGUUUCCUUCUCUCUAAGAUGAGGUUGUAGUCAUAAUCCUUAUCUCCUAUUGUAAGAUUUAAAGAUAAUCCACAUAAAGCAAUUAGGGACAGUUAAGCACUCAACAAUAUUAGCUAUCAUCACUACCAUCUGUACUUUUAAGUUUCACUUACCAGUUUUUUCUACUAGAAGUUUACGAAAUCCAAACAUGUAGAAAUAUGUAGGUAGCCCCCUUGAGCAUUAAAAUACUUGUGUUGUUGUUGUUGUUGUUAGAGAACACAGACGUACAAAUGUAACAUUUUUUCCUCUAACCUAAUUAUCUGUUGACUCAAUAAAUGAAUUCAUCAAUUCAACCUCUUAUUUCAGAUCCUUUGCAAAGAGAAUAUCAUGUGCCUGUGCCCUAUGAACUUUUUCUUUCUUCUUUUGUUUUCUUCUCUGAUGAGCUACAAAUCAGGACAAAUGUAGUAGGUGUCAGAAAUAAUUUACCUACAUGUGUGUAAUGAGUUUGGACAAACGCAUGAGCAACAUAUCUCUUUCUUCCACAUGGGAGGACCAGCACCAGGUCCUUCUUUCCAGCUGGAAGGGCUCAUGAACUGCUAGCUUUGCGGGUUCAGCUUGACAUCUCCACUUCCAGGCCAGCUAGUAGUCAC